AUGCAGCCGCAGCCACCACCGCAGCAGCAGCAGCAGUUCGUCAUCCAGCAGCAGCAGCAGCAGCAGCUGGGCCCCCGUGGGCAGCCCCCCUCGGGCCCCCCCACCGCCCCCCAGCCCCUGCCCCCUGCCAGCCCGGGCCCAGCCCCCCAGUCCAAAACAGGGGUCCCCCAGGGAGCAGGGGGCGAGGGUGGUCCCCCCAACGGGCACCCUGGCUGCCACGCUGCCCCCCGCAAGUUCCAGCACACCUCGGCUGUCAUCCUGCAGCUGCAGCCCACCAGCCCCACGGUGAGGGGCCCCCAGACCUCCCCCCAAACCUUCAUGAUGAGGGGCCCCCAAACAUCCCCCAAAACCUUCCCAAGCUUCCCACCAAACUCCCCCCAAACCCUCAUGGUGAGGGGCCCCCAGACCUUCCCCCAAAUUCUUCCAGAUUCUCACAGUGAGAGACCCCAAAACUUCCCCCAAACCUUCAUGGUGAGUGGCCCCCAAACCUCCUGCCAAAGCACCCCCCAAACCACCCACCAAGUCCCUAUGGUGAGGGACCUCCAAACCUCCCUGCAGACUUCCUACCAACUCCCUCCAAACUCUCACAGUGAGGGGCCUCCAAGGCCCUUGGUGAGGGGAGCUCAAAGGAGAGGAGGAGGAAUGGGGGCAGUGGAGUGGGAAUGGGGGAUGUUGGGGAGUCAGAUGUGUGUACGUGCGUGUGGGUGUGCAAGUGUGGAAUCCCUGCACACGUGUGUGUGCAUGUUUCUGAAAUGUGCAUGGGGGCCCAGUUGCCACAUCAGUCUGCAGACGUACAUGUGUGCAUGCUCAGACCACGCUGCAUGUGUGUACCUACUCCAUGCACACCUGUGUGCACAGGCUUGUCCUAUCCAUGGCCCUUAUGUGUCUGUGUGUACCUGGUUUUGUGACAUGGGGAGCAUGUGGCUGAUCCUUGUAUGUGUGACCCAUGCAUGUGUGUACUGGACUCAUACACAUCUGCGUGUACAGCUUUGCCAGAUGCAUGCACAUGCAUGUGUGCACAUGUGCAUGUGUGUGUGUACUCCCUGCAUGUGUGUGCAUAAUCGCUCCAGGUCCAUGUACACGUGUCAGAGCUACAUGUGUGCCUGGUCCAUGCACAUGAGUGCAGAUGUGUUUGCCUGA
rnacentral:lncRNA from 1 species